UACAGAGGUCUCAAGCGUUGUUCGGAUUCAUUGGGCGUAAAGGGUGCGUAGGUGGCGCGCUAAGUCGGGUGUGAAAUCUCGGAGCUUAACUCCGAAAUUGCAUUCGAUACUGGCGUGCUUGAGGACUGGAGAGGAGACUGGAAUUCAUGGUGUAGCAGUGAAAUGCGUAGAGAUCAUGAGGAAGACCAGUGGCGAAGGCGGGUCUCUGGACAGUUCCUGACACUGAGGCACGAAGGCCAGGGAGCAAACGGG
rnacentral:rRNA from 1 species